GAGGACCACUUUCAGUACCAAUCACAGUGGAUUCUUGGGUAAGUGGAACAUCUGUUGGUGGACCUUGGGUGCCUUGUGUUUGUUCAGAAGCAGAUUGGGCAGUAGGUCUUUGUGGACAGCCUUUCUUGUUGUGACCAAGCUCGUUACAUAUACCACAUUUUUUUCUCUGCCCACCCUUUCUUAACUCACUGUCAUUCUU
rnacentral:lncRNA from 1 species